rnacentral:rRNA from 1 species
UGGGGAAUAUUGGACAAUGGGCGCAAGCCUGAUCCAGCCAUACCGCGUGGGUGAAGAAGGCCUCGGGUUGUAAAGCCCUUUUGUUGGGAAAGAAAUCCAGCUGGCUAAUACCCGGUUGGGAUGACGGUACCCAAAGAAUAAGCACCGGCUAACUUCGUGCCAGCAGCCGCGGUAAUACGAAGGGUGCAAGCGUUACUCGGAAUUACUGGGCGUAAAGCGUGCGUAGGUGGUCGUUUAAGUCCGUUGUGAAAGCCCUGGGCUCAACCUGGGAACUGCAGUGGAUACUGGACGACUAGAGUGUGGUAGAGGGUAGCGGAAUUCCUGGUGUAGCAGUGAAAUGCGUAGAGAUCAGGAGGAACAUCCAUGGCGAAGGCAGCUACCUGGACCAACACUGACACUGAGGCACGAAAGCGUGGGGAGCAAACAGGAUUAGAUACCCCCGUAGUCCCUGAGCGGGCUGGCAAGGCGCAU